UACGUAGGGUGCAAGCGUUAAUCGGAAUUACUGGGCGUAAAGCGUGCGCAGGCGGUUGUGCAAGACCGAUGUGAAAUCCCCGGGCUUAACCUGGGAAUGGCAUUGGUGACUGCACGGCUAGAGUGUGUCAGAGGGGGGUAGAAUUCCACGUGUAGCAGUGAAAUGCGUAGAGAUGUGGAGGAAUACCGAUGGCGAAGGCAGCCCCCCGUGGCAAUACUGACGCUCAUGCACGAAAGCGUGGGGAGCAAACAGG
rnacentral:rRNA from 1 species